rnacentral:rRNA from 1 species
UACGUAGGGUGCAAGCGUUGUUCGGAAUUACUGGGCGUAAAGCGCGCGUAGGCGGGUCUGAAAGUCGAUUGUGAAAGCCCUGGGCUUAACCUGGGAAUGGCAGUCGAAACUUCAGAUCUUGAAUGUCUGAGAGGAUGGCGGAAUAACCGGUGUAGUAGUGAAAUACGUAGAUAUCGGUUAGAACACCUGAGGCGAAGGCGGCUAUCUGGCGGUACAUUGACGCUAAGGCGCGAAAGCGUGGGGAGCAAACAGG